rnacentral:rRNA from 1 species
GACGAACGCUGGCGGCGUGCUUAACACAUGCAAGUCGAACGGAAAGGCCCUGCUUUUGUGGGGUGCUCGAGUGGCGAACGGGUGAGUAACACGUGAGUAACCUGCCCUUGACUUUGGGAUAACUUCAGGAAACUGGGGCUAAUACCGGAUAGGAGCUCCUGCUGCAUGGUGGGGGUUGGAAAGUUUCGGCGGUUGGGGAUGGACUCGCGGCUUAUCAGCUUGUUGGUGGGGUAGUGGCUUACCAAGGCUUUGACGGGUAGCCGGCCUGAGAGGGUGACCGGCCACAUUGGGACUGAGAUACGGCCCAGACUGCUACGGGAGGCAACAGUGGGGAAUAUUGCACAAUGGGCGGAAGCCUGAUGCAGCAACGCCGCGUGCGGGAUGACGGCCUUCGGGUUGUAAACCGCUUUCGCCUGUGACGAAGCGUGAGUGACGGUAAUGGGUAAAGAAGCACCGGCUAACUACGUG